rnacentral:rRNA from 1 species
UACGAAGGGGGCUAGCGUUGCUCGGAAUCACUGGGCGUAAAGCGCACGUAGGCGGAUUGUUAAGUCAGGGGUGAAAUCCUGGAGCUCAACUCCAGAACUGCCUUUGAUACUGGCGAUCUUGAGUCCGGGAGAGGUGAGUGGAACUGCGAGUGUAGAGGUGAAAUUCGUAGAUAUUCGGAAGAACACCAGUGGCGAAGGCGGCUCACUGGCCCGAUACUGACGCUGAGGUGCGAAAGCGUGGGGAGCAAACAGG